ensembl:snoRNA
UGUGUCUGUGAUGACAGCUUGGCUCCCUCUACUGAGCACAAUGAGGAUAUUGCCCGUGUUACCCAAGUCUUGCUGAGACACU